rnacentral:rRNA from 1 species
GUGCCAGCCGCCGCGGUAAUACGAAGGGGGCUAGCGUUGUUCGGAUUUACUGGGCGUAAAGGGCGCGUAGGCGGUGCAAUAAGUCAGGCGUGAAAGCCCCGGGCUCAACCCGGGAAUUGCGCUUGAUACUGUUGCGCUUGAAUCCAGGAGAGGAUGGCGGAAUUCCCAGUGUAGAGGUGAAAUUCGUAGAUAUUGGGAAGAACACCAGUGGCGAAGGCGGCCAUCUGGCCUGGAAUUGACGCUGAGGCGCGAAAGCGUGGGGAGCAAACAGGAUUAGAAACCCGCGUAGUCC